rnacentral:rRNA from 1 species
CCUACGGGAGGCAGCAGUGGGGAAUCUUGCGCAAUGGGCGGAAGCCUGACGCAGCGACGCCGCGUGCGGGACGAAGGCCUUCGGGUCGUAAACCGCUUUCAGCAGGGACGAGGCCCUCACGGUGACGGUACCUGCAGAAGAAGCCCCGGCUAACUACGUGCCAGCAGCCGCGGUAAUACGUAGGGGGCGAGCGUUAUCCGGAUUUAUUGGGUUUAAAGGGUGCGUAGGCGGAUUUUUAAGUCAGCGGUAAAAUGUCGGGGCUCAACCCGGGCCGGCCGUUGAAACUGGGGAUCUUGAGUGGGCGAGAAGUAUGCGGAAUGCGUGGAGUAGCGGUGAAAUGCAUAGAUAUCACGUAGAACUCCGAUUGCGAAGGCAGCAUACCGGCGCCCGACUGACGCUGAGGCACGAAAGCGUGGGGAUCGAACAGGAUUAGAUACCCCUGUAGUC